AGAAAAGCCACGUAAAAUAAAAUCUUACUGAGAGUUGCCCGGUGGACGAGGAAGAAGAAGUGCAAUAAACUGCGAGAGAGCCAAGCGGAAUAUUUCGCCACACGGCAGAGAGAUGUUGAGCGCGUAGGCGUAGUCGGCGCGGUUUUUUGUACCUAUUGUCGGUCGUUUGGUCGGACGUCUUUUGUAUGUGCACUUUGGUGAAGAGUUCAAUACGAGAAUGAGCUCCUAGCUAGCUCCAAGUGUGAGAUGCUUACAAGGAGGGUGAAGCUGUCAGGUAGAAGCCGUAGCGGUCGGUGGAAGCGUGGUGCCGCACGUGCACCACCAGACCUGGUGUGCUUGACCGCAGACGCUGCAACAACCACAUGAGGGUCACGUCGGACGCGCCGGAUGGGAAAGUCAUCACCAUGUCGCAGUCCUUAGCACGCGACAAAACUUUGCGUCGACGGAAGGGCGAUUGAAAAUCGAUAUUCUCCUCGUUGUCUGGAAUUUCAGCGGCGACGGCGCCGCUCUCGGCGCCCUGCUUCUCUUCCUCACCAGGCACACUUUCCAUGCUGCUGGUCGGCCGAUUGGCGCAGCUCGAUUAUAAGCUAGGACGAGACACCGUCGGCGGUGUCGCCAUUCAGAGCCGAUCGCUCGUCCAGCCUAUUUUCUCGGUUGCGCCGUCCGUGGUGCCGCCGUCGGCUGCGCUCGCACGUACCGAAAUCAACCCCAUGCGCCGGACGUGGUGCGCACCCGUCGAGUCUCGUCGAUCUUGGACCUCGAUCAAACCUCUCGACUCUUUUGUCCUUUCUCAAUGACUCAAUGCUUAUUAGUUGAACAGGUGAUGCGAACUUGUUAAUCUUGAGCACGUUUUUAUUUGUUCACUGUUGAUCUUGCUGAGCUAACGCGAUUUUUUCACGGCUAAAUUAGAGCAGUCUUAAAGGACGGCCUGCCAAUUAAGACAUAUUUGCAUUCUCAAAAUUUUUGUAACACUUAACUUAGAUUUUUUUACGUUUACUGUAAGCACAGGCAAAAUUAAUGAAGAUUAAGUGUGAUGUUUGAAGGCAAUUUUUAAUUCACUGUGUAAAACUUUAGCCCAGACAGAUGAAUUGCAUAGUAUCUUGCAAUAUUAAAAAAGUAUAAUUAAGUUGGAGGUGGAAAAAACAAUAAAAAUUUAAUCAGACAAUUAACUGAACAAUUGUCUGUAUUUUAUAUUAUAUGUAAAAAUUGAAAUUAAUAAUAAUAGCAUUCAUUUCACCACUUCAUAAAUUGCAUCAAAAAUAAUUAAAUAAUUAAAUUUUUUGUAUUGACCCAGAUGAAUAAAU